CGGAGGUACCCGAGUGGCGAACGGGUGAGUAACACGUGGGUGAUCUGCCCUGCACUCUGGGAUAAGCCUGGGAAACUGGGUCUAAUACCGGAUAGGACCAUGCUUUAGUGUGUGUGGUGGAAAGUUUUUUCGGUGUAGGAUGAGCCCGCGGCCUAUCAGCUUGUUGGCGGGGUAAUGGCCUACCAAGGCGGCGACGGGUAGCCGGACUGAGAGGUUGGUCGGCCACAUUGGGACUGAGAUAGGCCCAG
rnacentral:rRNA from 1 species